GUGCCAGCAGCCGCGGUAAUACGUAGGGCGCAAGCGUUAUCCGGAAUUAUUGGGCGUAAAGAGCUCGUAGGCGGUUUGUCGCGUCUGCUGUGAAAUCCCGAGGCUCAACCUCGGGUCUGCAGUGGGUACGGGCAGACUAGAGUGCGGUAGGGGAGAUUGGAAUUCCUGGUGUAGCGGUGGAAUGCGCAGAUAUCAGGAGGAACACCGAUGGCGAAGGCAGAUCUCUGGGCCGUAACUGACGCUGAGGAGCGAAAGGGUGGGGAGCAAACAGGCUUAGAUACCCUGGUAGUCCACCCCGUAAACGUUGGGAACUAGUUGUGGGGUCCAUUCCACGGAUUCCGUGACGCAGCUAACGCAUUAAGUUCCCCGCCUGGGGAGUACGGCCGCAAGGCUAAAACUCAAAGGAAUUGACGGGGACCCGCACAAGCGGCGGAGCAUGCGGAUUAAUUCGAUGCAACGCGAAGAACCUUACCAGG
rnacentral:rRNA from 1 species